rnacentral:rRNA from 1 species
UGGGGAAUAUUGCACAAUGGGCGAAAGCCUGAUGCAGCGACGCCGCGUGAGGGAUGACGGCCUUCGGGUUGUAAACCUCUUUCAGCAGGGACGAAGCGCAAGUGACGGUACCUGCAGAAGAAGCACCGGCUAACUACGUGCCAGCAGCCGCGGUAAUACGUAGGGUGCAAGCGUUGUCCGGAAUUACUGGGCGUAAAGAGUUCGUAGGCGGUUUGUCGCGUCGUUUGUGAAAAACCAGCAGCUCAACUGCUGGCUUGCAGGCGAUACGGGCAGACUUGAGUACUGCAGGGGAGACUGGAAUUCCUGGUGUAGCGGUGAAAUGCGCAGAUAUCAGGAGGAACACCGGUGGCGAAGGCGGGUCUCUGGGCAGUAACUGACGCUGAGGAACGAAAAGCGUGGGUAGCGAACAGGAUUAGAUACCCUGGUAGUCCACGCCGUAAACGGUGGGCGCUAGGUGUGGGUUCCUUCCACGGAAUCCGUGCCGUAGCUAACGCAUUAAGCGCCCCGCCUGGGGAGUACGGCCGCAAGGCUAAAAA